GGUUCGUUACACGAAGAGUAACAAAAUAAAGUAAAAGUUAACAAAAAAAUAAAAUUUUAAUUAUAACUAAAAACUAAUUAAAAAUAUACUUACUUACUAAAACCUUAAUGACAAAAAUAAAAUAAAUAUAAACAAAAACUUAUACGUAAACUCGGGCGCAAAUGACGUUUUAAAUAUCUGUGAGCGCGAACGAUGAGUGAACGAAGUGGAAACAGGUUCGCCCCGGUUUAGAAUAAACCGUCGAAACAUCGCGGCGGAGUCCGAGCGAAGUUAUCAUAACGCAAGGACGUACGGCUUUUGUACUAAAACUGCCAAGUCACGACGAGCUACGAGUCGUUAAAUUCACUUUUUAACAAUUUCUACAAAUCUAAGUUGUGUUGUGUUACCCCAAUAUCGGGGUCCCCGUUCCGGGUUUCAAACACUUCUCUCCGUGGAAGUUUGGGGCAAGAUUGCUGCCUUGGACAAUCAAGCCUGGUGGACCUGGGCUGCCACCGAGAACAGUUUUACGCCUACCGGAAAUCGGAAGAUCAGUACCGUGGCCUUGAUUAUUUCUGGGACUUUGUGUCGCUCGGUUGCCAAUUAUUGACCCACUACCUGAACCUUCGUAAAUUAGAUUUAAUAAACCUUUUGUUGUACA